AUACAGAGGGUGCAAGCGUUAAUCGGAUUUACUGGGCGUAAAGCGCGCGUAGGUGGCUAAUUAAGUCAAAUGUGAAAUCCCCGAGCUUAACUUGGGAAUUGCAUUCGAUACUGGUUAGCUAGAGUAUGGGAGAGGAUGGUAGAAUUCCAGGUGUAGCGGUAAAAUGCGUAGAGAUCUGGAGGAAUACCGAUGGCGAAGGCAGCCAUCUGCCCGAAUACUGACACUGAGGUGCGAAAGCAUGGGGAGCAAACAGGAUUAGAUACCCUGGUAGUCCAUGCCGUAAACGAUGUCUACUAGCCGUUGGGGCCCUUGAGGCUUUAGUGGCGCAGCUAACGCGAUAAGUAGACCGCCUGGGGAGUACGGUCGCAAGACUAAAACUCAAAUGAAUUGACGGGG
rnacentral:rRNA from 1 species